rnacentral:rRNA from 1 species
AUUGAACGCUGGCGGCAGGCCUAACACAUGCAAGUCGAACGGUAACAGGAAGCAGCUUGCUGCUUUGCUGACGAGUGGCGGACGGGUGAGUAAUGUCUGGGAAACUGCCCGAUGGAGGGGGAUAACUACUGGAAACGGUAGCUAAUACCGCAUAACGUCGCAAGACCAAAGAGGGGGACCUUAGGGCCUCUUGCCAUCUGAUGUGCCCAGAUGGGAUUAGCUAGUAGGUGGGGUAACGGCUCACCUAGGCGACGAUCCCUAGCUGGUCUGAGAGGAUGACCAGCCACACUGGAACUGAGACACGGUCCAGACUCCUACGGGAGGCAGCAGUGGGGAAUAUUGCACAAAGGGCGCAAGCCUGAUGCAGCCAUGCCGCGUGUAUGAAGAAGGCCUUCGGGUUGUAAAGUACUUUCAGCGGGGAGGAAGGGAGUAAAGUUAAUACCUUUGCUCAUUGACGUUACCCGCAGAAGAAGCACCGGCUAACUCCGUG